AUUGACGGGGGCCCGCACAAGCGGUGGAUUAUGUGGUUUAAUUCGUUGAUACGCGAGGAACCUUACCAAGGCUUAAAUGGGAAUUGAUCGGUUUAGAAAUAGACCUUCCUUCGGGCAAUUUUCAAGGUGCUGCAUGGUUGUCGUCAGCUCGUGCCGUGAGGUGUUAGGUUAAGUCCUGCAACGAGCGCAACCCCUGUCACUAGUUGCCAUCAUUCAGUUGGGGACUCUAGUGAGACUGCCUACGCAAGUAGGGAGGAAGGUGGGGAUGACGUCAAAUCAUCACGGCCCUUACGCCUUGGGCCCCACACGUAAUACAAUGGCCGGUACAGAGGGCAGCUACACAGCGAUGUGAUGCAAAUCUCGAAAGCCGGUCUCAGUUCGGAUUGGAGUCUGCAACUCGACUCUAUGAAGCCGGAAUCGCUAGUAAUCGCGCAUCAGCCAUGGGGCGGUGAAUACGUUCCCGGGCCUUGUACACACCGCCCGUCAAGCCAUGGAAGUCUGGGGUACCUGAAGUCGGUGACCGUAAAAGGAGCUGCCUAGGGUAAAACAGGUAACUAGGGCUAAGUCGUAACAAGGU
rnacentral:rRNA from 1 species